GCUCAGCCUCUGGUGCCUUUCCAGGGUCCAGCAGCAGGAAGGCCACCAGCCGGCAGACCUCCAGCCCCGAGCCAGCAGAGGCAGCCCUGCUACCAGGGGUGGGGCUGGGCACCACACCCCUGCGGCCCAGCAGCCACUCCCGCACCAAGACACGCAAACCCAACUUCAGUCCCCAGGAGACAGAGGUGCUGGUGCGGAGGGUGGCACGCCACUACCCACUGCUGUUCGGGGCACUGCGGAGCACACCUGCUCGGAAGCACCACGUGUGGAGCAGGAUCCUACAGGCUGUGAAUGCGCUGGGCUACUGCCGCCGUGACCUGGGUGACCUCAAGCACAAAUGGAGGGACCUACGAGGGGCCGUGCGCAAGAAACUGGCAGAGAGUCCGGCUCCUGGAUUCAUCCUCACACCUGUGGAACGCAUGGUGGCUGAGACCUUCUCGACCCCAGCCUCCCAGGGCAAGAGCCAGGCAACAAGUAAGUGGGCCCCUCCCCACAGCCCACCCCUGGCCUAGCCUGGCCUGGCCUGGCCUGGGCAGUGAGCUGGCUGGCUUCCGGUGCACAGCCCCCAAAGAACGAGACUCCAGGGGAGUGCUGGGGGCCUGAGGAGACGGCUCAUCCCCCUCCCGGCCCCUCGGCUCCUGGGUAGGAAACCCAAGGCCCAGGCCCAGGCAGAGGCCUGCUCAUUUGGGGAGGAGGGGUCAGGUUCAUGCUGGCCCUGAGCUCACGGUCCACUGGGACUUUCCCCAGCCUUGGCAUAGUACAGCAAGGGGACCCUCAAAUCCAUCUCAAAAACUGAAGUCACUCAAAGCCCCUGGGUCUCAUGUGGCCUGGGGGGUCAGUGCCUUUGCCACCACCACUGGCGGCAGCAGCUUGGGGAGCUUAGACCUGCUGCUGGGCUCAGGGCUCCACGGCAGCUGCCACCUUGAGCCAUGGCCACAGCAGGGAGCUGAGUGCCUCCGUCCCUUCCCUGGUAUCUAGAGAGGACACUGGGGCCCCAUGGCCCCGUUUCCCCGUCACUCUAGAGAGACAAGUUCCAGGAUGGUGAAGGCAUCCCUUAGAUAUACAGGGCCCUACUCUGUGUAUCUAAGGGAGGUGCAAAGACUGAGGUCCAGGGGCCUGGCUGAGCAGCCCAGGCCCAAAGCCCAGGCACAGUCUCCGAGGCCCCGCUCCUCUCUGCCAUGUCUGCUGCGUCUGGUGUGGUGCGGCUGGGAGGCCUCUUUGGCCCCAGGCCAUUGUCCACUCUGUCUUCUCAGGAGUGCUCAUGACAAAGGUCAGGGCAGUGACUGUCCUUAGGCCACCAAGUGUUAAUAGCAGAGGAACCAAGCAAGGCAGCAAGCUUGGGUGGCCACAGGCUUGAAGAUGUGGCUGUGGCUGGGAGGAAGGAGGCUGCCCUGCAUAGCUCCCUCCUCCUCCAAGCUGGACCAGGCCUGGAGUGAGAGUGCCCAGGGUUGAUGCCAUCAGAUGGCAAGCCACCAGCAGGUGGAGGCUGCCUGGCCGGAGCCACGUCCAGCCACUAACCUUUGCUGUGCCUUUUGGUGUCAGAGGUGGCCUCUGUGUUGGUGAAUGCUGCUGGAGAAUUUGGCCAGAGCCAGGAGGAGCCCAGGCCAGUGCCUUCCCGCCUCAGCCUGCCUUGUCCGGGCCUGGGGAGCAGGACUGCGUGCCCUCCUCAGCAGGCCCUUCAGAAUCGCUCUGGUGCUCUUGGCCUCUCAGAGCGCUUCUUCUGCUGGGCUGCUCCAGGAACCACCUUUUCCAGAAGUCUCUGUUCUUGGCUGGGCCUGUCCUGCAGCCCACACUGCCUCUGAGCCCUCCCAUGAUGCGGGCUCGGGUGCUGUCUCCACUCUGCCUCCUCUGCUGCCCUCCUCCUCACCACCCUGCCUCACAGCCAGGCCUGCUGGACUCUCCUCCUGGGAAGCUCUGGAAGGACGUGGGGAUGGAGCCAGGAGUAAGAUGAGCCUUCUCAGGGUGGGGCAGCCAGCAGGACCCCACCUCAGACGGACCAGCAGGAGGUCCUGGGGGGACUCGGAGCCGUACCUGCUCUGAUCCUUCUCUUCUGUGGUGCCUGCAGCUGGGACACGUGGGCAAGGCCAGGCCUGGCUGGGAGACGUGUAGGUCCAGGACAGGUCUCGUGCUGGGCCUCAGGAUGCACAGGUCCUGAUAGGCCUGGGGAGGCCAGGGGUAUGGGACUAUUACCAUCCCCAGGGAGGCCUCGUGCCUUCUCCUUUAAGGCAGAGGCCUGCCGCUGUGUUCCUGAGGCAGGCUUGGGUGAUUCAGGCAAGGGUGUGCCCUGUGGGGCCUGGGUGUUCAGGUACUUUCUGCAAGUCCCCGACCUGGAGGGCAGCAGGAACGCUGGAGUAUACCCUGCAUCCCCUGCCCUGGGUGAGGCCCAGCCCAGCUUCCUUCAUCCCUGAUCGAUCAGCCGCAGCCCCUAUGGCCUUGUAGCCCUGGUUCUCCUAACGGAGGAGAAGCUUCUGUGGUGCCCAGGAACCUCUUGUGAGAUGGUCUGCAUGCCUCUGAUGUUUGUUGAAUGAAAUGACUGUGUGGGAGGAGCAGACUUGCCCUGAUAGGCACUGAGGCCAGAAGCAGGGAAGUAGCUGCAGGGCCGGCAGUGGGGUGGGAGUGCCCCCCGAUCAGUGCCAGCCUGGGGAAGCAGGACUCGUCCUCUCUUCAGCAGGCCCUGUCCAAGGGUAGCCUCUGGGGCUUAGACAGGGCCGGGCCUGGGGGCCUGGGGAAGUGAGCUGCCGAGCUCAUGGAUUUCCAGUUUCUGUGCUCCGAGGCUGCUGACAGGUGCACUUGCCCAGGGGCGCCUCCGGCUCUCUGCAUUUGUCCUGAGGGGUGGUUGGUGACCAGUGCCAUCUUCUUUAGCCCCUGGAGGCCUGCACAGCCCUUGGGCUUUUCAGAGGCUGUCUGAGGUAGAGCAAGUCCCACAUGCAGCGCCCUGUGCCAGGAGACAGGAGGGUGCCCUGUGGACCUGGAGCCUUCAAGGCAAGGCUUCUGAGCUGUCAGAGAGCCACCUGGCCAUGCCCCAUACAGCCUGGGGCUUAGGCAGGGCCGGGCCUGGGGGCCUGGGGAAGUGAGCCGCAGUUUCUGUGCUCCGGGGCUGUUGACAGGUGCUCUUGCCCAGGGGCGCCUCCAGCUGUCCUUCCUGCUUCCUUCUCUGGCUGCCCUCUGAUGUGACAGGACACUUUGAGUUUGGGGCAGCUGCAGCCUGCCCAGAAGAGGAAGAGGUGUGCUGCAGCCUUGUUGCCCCUUCCCUCCCCGUGCUGGGCUGUGUCCUGGAGACCUGUCGCCCUGUAGCCUGGCCUUGACUGGGUUGGAGGGUGGAGCAAAAGUAGAGACUGGGGGCUCAGGUCUGCCUGAGGCCUAGGGGUUUCUCAAAGGUAGGGCUCCAGGGAUGAGGCCGCCUUCUCUCAUAGAGCAGCCGCCCCCGCUGGAAGGCUGGGAGUCGCCGCUCCCUCUGCAGGCCCCAUGGGGCUGGGGGCACACGCUGCAGCGGCUCAAUGGCCCUCGGCCUCCUGGGCCAUAGGUGGGCCCUUUGCAGUGGGUGUCCGCUGCCUGAUUCCCGAGGCAGGCCUUCCGACCGCUGCCCCUCCCACAAGGACUUCACGUGUCUCAGGCGAGUGCCUGCCUCUGCUGGCCUCUGGGGCCUGCCGCACUGGGUGUUGACUGCCCUCUGCCCCUGUGUGGCCUGAGUUUGCCCAGUGGAGUCAGGACAACUGGACGUGCCUUCUGCCAUGUGGUGCUACUUCUUGGCCACUGCCUGGUGUAAAAUUUGUCCCCAGGACUGGGCCCAGGCCGUGCCUUCCCAAAGCCACUGGUCCCCAGCCAGCCCCAUGCUCUUUGAAUGGCCUUGUUGGAACCCAGCCACCGUAGAGUCCCACGUUCACAGCCCUGUCCUCUCAGCGGCACUGCAGGACCUGUCCCUGAGGGGGGCCAUGGCCAGAUGGGAGGCCGCCCGAGGCAGCCGCAGGCGGCUCUGGCUUUCCUCUUCACUCUUUCCUGAGGGGCUUUCCCCUGCCGCCUCCAAAGUCUGCUUCCCCAAGGACACUUCCAGGCCCUGGUCCUUCUCUCAAGGCCGAACACUGUCCACACCAGGGUGAUCCUUGAGUGGGCCCUGAGCCGCAUCCCUGCAGCCUCUGACCCUUUAGAGGCUGGACCUCGUUUCUUGAGUGUGCAGCCCACAUGGGAAGGAGCUCAGGGGCGGAUGCACGUCCAGCCAACCUGGGCUCGGGCUCCCCUGGGGCUCGGGCUCCCCGGGGCUAGCUCAGGUGAUGUAGGCUGGUCAAAACGUGGGCCUCCACCUGGUGACCGCCUUCUGCUGUGGUGACUUGCAGAUAGUACUGCAGCAGCACGUGUGGAGGCGGCCGGGGAGCCCCGGGCUGGGCUGGGCUGCCAUACCAAGUAAGUGGGUCUGAGGGUAGGAGCGCUGGCUGGCCCAGCCUCGGUCCCUUUGUCCCUCACCCAUCUGUCUGGGAAGCCAGGCCCUGCCUGUGCCUAGAAGGGACAAGCCCAUGGUCUUCUUUGAGUCAGGCCACUGGCUUACGUGUGGGCACUGGGAGGGGGGAAGAAGGGACAGAGCCAUGGUCUGAGUGGCUCCCGCAGUGGUCAGCACCAUCUCCUCUCAUUUGGACUCCCCACCACCUUACCCCUCAGCUUCCUCACCCGCCUGGCCUACAAGGUGGUGGUUAGGUCUGUAACUGGCACAGUGGGAGCUGGCCAGUGGGGUGUGGGCAUAGCGUGGCUGUGCUUCCGGGGAGGCCGGUGCACUGUGGUCCUCACUGGCAGGCUGCCCUAGGUAGCCCUGACCCCCUUGUCCCAGGAAGGCUGGCCGGCUCUGCCUGUCUGCCCUUCCUGAGCGCUCUCCAGGCCUCACUGUGGGGUGCUAGCCUGGGGCUCUGCAGCUGCCUGGGGCUGCUGCUUGGAGGUGUGGGUGGGUUUUAGGGAGGGAGACAAACCUCCACUGUUGCACACGAGCAGGACCCAGAGCAGACUUGAGGGCCACCAUCGCCUUGUGCCCACCACCAUGAGGAGGGCCUGACCGCGCCAGGCAGGCUGGAGACCUUAGUCCAGCAGGAAGGAGGGCCAGCAGCCUUGUCCCCUGGCUCACUUGCUCACUGUGUUCCUUUGGUCCCUGCUGGCUCCUACAAGCAGAUCCUGUCCCUUGAGUUUGUGUCCCAAGGACCAGACAGGUGGGCAUUCAGUCUGGACAUGGGGGUGGUGGGGUACCCUGGGAGUUCAGAGGCCCCCCAGGUUGGCUGGGGUGGGAGGGCUCCCCGGAGAGCACACACCUGCUGCGGCUGAGCCGAGGGAAGGUCUGCUGAGUCCUGAGGACAGGCCACUGCAGCCCGCUCCAGUGAGGAUGGUCGUGUGAGGGCUGUGACGAGGGAGGGGCAGCCACAGUGCCUUGCUUUCCUGGGGGUCUGGGGAAUGCACUGUGCUUGGCAAAAGCCCUCGGUGGCCUUGGAGAGCAGGAAACGAAGAGCCUUGGUGGGGAGAAGGUAGAGGCGAGGUGGGGCUUGCUGCCCCCAGGCUGAGGCUGACCUCCACGCUGGGGUGGGUGGCUGCAGGCCUCGGCUGGCAUUCAGCAGGAAUGUGUGACGGAAUGAUGGUCAGGGCCUGGUCACAGCUGCCUUCCCCCAUUUUCCAUCAUGGCCAUCAGAUUCAAGGUCAGUGUGGCCAGCGGUGGCCCUUUGUGAUGGCUGGUGAGUGGGACUGGGGCACCUUGGGAUGGCCACUCAGGCUCCUGUCCAACCCUCAGUCCCAGCCAUCUUGUGGCAUGGACAGGUCUCCACUCAGGGCCCUUCCAGAAGCUUCCUGGGGUGGGACUUGCAGGCCAGUGCAUCAGGAGGCACACACACAGAGGACCUUGUCCUGAAUGACAAGAGGACUUGAGUGCCCAGGACCAGCUGGUCAGGAAGGAUGCACAGAUGCCUGGGGCAGCAGAGGGAGAUGUGACCAUGGGGAGGAGGAGGAGGAAGCAGGAGGGGAGGUAGCCACACCGACCAGCUCCUCCCGGUGGGUGUGGGGCCCAGAACUUCCCCCACUGUAGAUGAGGUGAGUGGACACAGCAGGUGGUCUGCCAGAAGCCACCAGCACAAUGCCCUGCCCCCAUUGGCAUGGCCCUCCCACAAGCACAUCAGGAAGGGAUGUCUGCUGGCCUGUCCAUGCCCAGAGGCCCCAGGCCUUCCCCUUUCAGGUUAGGAAUUGGCAGCCUAGAGAAGCAGGGGAGGUCCUAGUGCCCCCCAGCCGUGGAGACCAGGCCCAGCUGGUCUGGGAGCUCAAGUCCUUUGGACCCUGGGAAGCGCAGCCCCCCUUCCUUCUGAGAUGGCACUGUGGGAACUCAAGGCAGGCGGGGGGCGGGGCUGGAUAGAAAGCUCAGUGGGAAGACGGAUGGAUGGGUCAAUGAAGUGACAAAAAGUGGAUGACAGACAGUGGGUAAGUGAGGGCUGAGUGGCUGGUGAGCAGGUGGGUGGAUGGAUCCAGGCGAGGAGAAGGGUAGUGGGACUGCCUGGGUGACAGAGCAAGAUGAACAGGUGGGUGGGCAGGAGGAUGACUGUGGAGAGACAGAGGAACGGCCAGGGUGCCAGUAGAUAGAGGGACCCCUGGGUGGGCAGACGGGAAAGGCGGCGGGGGACGGGGGGGGGGGCCCGCCCGGCUGCUGCAGCAGGUGCCUUUGCCUCGCGCACCUGGCCUUCUGCAUCUCUAAAGGGCGCCGUGCUAGCUGCCGAGGGGACUGGCCCUGAACGGCUGCAGGCAGGGGGCCUCGUGUGUCUGCUGCCUCCCACCUGCUCCCCUGUCGUGCCUGGUACUGCCCACUGGUGGCCAGCCCAGACUGACCCUCCCCUGUCUCCCUCUGUUAGCCGACGAGGAAGACGAGGAUGAAACUGCCAACUGCCUGUGGCGACCCCUGAGGACCCCGGAAGGGCCCAGUCCACCUGAACCUGACCCCCUGGACUUCCGAGGAGCUCUCCGUGCAUCCACCUCCUCACCCUCCCUGCCUGCCUCCCUGGCAUCUGUGCCCCCAGGGGCCGCGGGCAUGGGUUCCUUUGGGCCCUCCCCACCUUCCUCAGCACCAGCAUCUACGCUGCCCCUGCCCUCCGGGAGGACCCUGUGCACAGCGUCUGAGGCCUCCGUGUUUGAGCAGCAGCUGCUGGACUCCCACCUGCGGCAGGGUGCCCUGCUGGCCUCCUGGUCGCAGCAGCAGGGUGCGCUGAUGGCCCAGCAGAACCUGCUGCUGCAGCGGCUGGCGGAGCAGAGCCAGCGGCUGGCUGAUGGUGUCGAGGCCCUCAGCCGGACCCUGGAGCGGCUGGUGGCAGUGCGCCCAGCCCAGGAGGGCUCACCCUCCAUCCUAGAAGGUAGCCCUGCUGCUGGAGGGGCCUGUGGACCCACCAGAGGCCCCCAGGACAGUCCCCAGGGUGCCCACCCAGGCCCAGAGGUCUUCUCGGGGCUGAUCCUGAAGGUGGAGGAAGAGCUGUAGGACUGGCCCAGGGUCCCCUUUGGCACCAGGCCAGGGAGAGGACAAGGACUGAGGAAGCCUGGAGAGGGUGUGGGGCGUCUCCCCACGGUGCCUUUCUGUCCCUGGCCUUGGGUGGGUGUGGCGACCUGCCAGUCUGGCCUCAGCACCAACCUGCUGGUCCAGGCCAGGGUCUACUCAGGACAGUGGCAGUGAGUCUGACCUCCCCCUGCCUGGAGCCCCCUGGGCCCGUGGCUGCCGUUGGCUGCGGGUCACCUCUGCAGGCCGGCACCAGUGGGGGGAGGUGGGGAAAAGACGCUCAGCCCGGGGCCUCGGAGCCCUGGGGAGUGGGGACUUGGCAGCUGCGCGGGCUCAGAGGGCCCGGGCUCGGCUCCUUGAUUCUGGUUCAGGGGAGCCCCGUCCGUGAGCCUGGAGUUAAUUCUCUUCAAUUUUAUAUCAAUGUCAUAAAUACAUAAAUGCAG
rnacentral:lncRNA from 1 species